UACAAAUCGAUUAGAAUUUAGCAUAUUUUACUAUAGAAUAUUUUGGAGUUUAGUCGUUUAAACAAAUUGACAAGAUCGAAAUUAAACGAAUGUUAUACAUUAUUGGAUAACCUACAUACAAUUUACAGUUUGUUUGCGUCGAUUUCCUCACCAAGUUCCGCGACAUUUCGUGGAAGCCCCGAAAGUACAGAAAUUUUUGAUCCAAACACGAGAAGUUAUGCGUAC